CCCCCCCCGGGCAGCCACGACCCAUGGCCCGGGGUCAAGAGGUCUCGAGUGGUGGCGGCUGAGCGGUUACAUCCGCUGCGGGGCUGGGUGGCAGGAAGGGCUGGAGGAUGUAAGGGAGCAGUGGGGUUAGCUGGCUUCGGGGUGUGGACAGGUCGUCCUGGUGCUUGAGUUCAGGUCGAGGUGACACGCUACAUCCCUGGGCUCACCUCUGCGGGGCUGUCCCACCAGUACUGAGGUUCCCUAAACAUCUCCCGCCACCCAAGCCCUUCCCUGUUGGGGACUGAACGCAGGGCCUUAACCCUGGGCUACAUGCCCAGGCCCCCUCUCCUGUUUUUAUUUUAUUUUGAGACAGGGUCUUGCUAAAUUACUGAUUUCCUCAGGCUGGGCCGGAACUUUCGAUCCUGCUUCAGCCUCCCACGGUGCCGGAGUGACUGCGAGUCCCCUGUACCUGGCUUUACCGAUGCGUACUGUAUACCCUUGCACCAGAGGCGUGUUAGGACCGACAGCAAGGCCACUGGCACUGGCUAGAGCAGGGGAGAGCCCCUGAAGGGGAGAGCCCCUGAAGGGGAGGACCCCAGAGGGCCCAGCGUGGCCACCCCAGGGCCGAGGAGGGAGGUCUCCCCAACUCCCGAGACCGCGCGCUGCCAGGCUGGGCGAGCACUUUCCAGGUGCACUUGUCAUCCCCGUGGUGACUCCUGGUGGGGAGGCUGUGGUCCGUCCCCCUUUUUCAGAUGAGGAAACAGACCUGGAAGUAGGCGAGGGCCGGUGGCCUGGUCCUGCCAGGUCCUGCUUUGGAGCAGGGCUCAGGAGGGACGUGGGCAGCUCGGGCUCCCAACAGCACCCUGCCCCCUCCCUGUGCUCGGUCCAUGCCCAGUGCCUGGCCUGGGCCUCUGCCUUCAGCAGAGGUGACCCCGAGGCCUGCCAUGUGGGGCCACACCUCGCCUCCCGGGUCCCCAGCCUGGGCUUGGAGCUCCACCCAUGUGAGCAGAGGUGGCCCGAGCGCUGGCGGCUGGGUAACUUGGCGGCUGACAGGGCUUUGAGGGUGCCAGGCCUGGGUGCCGUCCCCAGCACCAAAGUGGGAAUUAAUGAGCGAGUUGGUUAAGUGGCCCGCGGACGCUGGGUGGGUGUGCGGUCCCUGUGCACUGUCCCCGUGGGGCCCUGGCACAGAGGGGCGCUGCUCUGUGCCCUGCUCCACCCCCUCAGCUUCCUCCCUGGGAACCUCGGCCUUGGCUGGAGGGCCUGGCCCUGUCCCCUGGGGCACUGCCUCCCAUGCCGGGUGGGUUCCCUGCUCUGGGCUGUGGCAGUUUCCACCCCGGGUCCUCUUCCUUGGAGCCCAUCCCGGGCCUCCAGCAGCCCGCCCACCUCCCUGGCCCCUCUAUCCCUGGGUCACACGGGAGCCCUGAGUGCCCAUGCUCCCCUGGGCCAGGCCUCCUGCCUCGCUGGGCCUCGUCCAGAGGGCUGUGGCCCCAGGAGCCAAUGGGACCCGGGUCCCUGUGAAUGAUUAACUCCAGGCCCAUGGAGGGCGGGUCGCUAGGUCUGCCACAGGGAGGCCAGCCAGGCUGGGCUGGGGCCCCUGCUGUCCACAGAGGUGGCCGGCUCCCUGGGCCCUGCUCCCGGCCCUCUCCCCUUGGACGCCGGUUGCUCCGCUGUCCAGUCAGCCCACUGGGCGUGUCCGGGAUCCCGACUGGCUUCUCACUGCCUGGGGUUCAGAGCAGAGUCCCGCCCCGCCCACCCCAGGUGCCGCCACACCCUGUGCAGCCCUGAGUGCAGGUGCUGGCCAUGACCCUGUGACCGGGACCUGGGCUGACACCCCAGGCCAGGAGCUGCAACCCUCACACACCGCAGCUUCCAGAGGUGGCCAGCAAUGGUCACAGGGGGACACAGGACAGAGGGCACCGAGAGCCCAUGCCCCAGGUGUCACUGCAACUCCAGUCACCGCGCCUUGAGCCUCUGCCUGUGCUCUGGGUGGCUAGUGUCAGGCACACAGGGCACCAGCCAGCACCCUGUUGCGAGCCUGCACUGGGCAGUGGGCAGGGGUGGCUGCGCUGCAAGCCCUCGCCCCGGGACAGCGGAUUCUCCCCUCCUCGUCCCCCAAACAGCUCUUGGAAACGAUGUCCGAAGCCCUGAGUCUGCACGAGGUCUGUGCUCUACCUGCAGUGCAGACACUCAGCCCGAGUGCCCGAGAGCUGGUCCCUGCCCUGCCUCAGCCCUACAAUCCCAGCACUCAGGAGGCUGAGACAGGAGGAUCACAAGUUCCAGGCCAGCCUGGGCUACAUAGUGAGACCCUAUCCUAAAAAGAUGAAACUGAUAUAAAUAAGGAAAAGGGCUGGGGAUGUAGCUGAGUGGUAGGGCACCCCAGGACCCCAAAACAACCACACAAAACCCCUCACGCCAAGGGGAAACACCCCAAACCCAGACCCCAAGCACUGAAAUGCAGUGAUUUCUGCACAGGGUCAAACCCCGGCGACCCCGCACCCCAACUCCACGCAGAGGCUUGGGCUGCUCCCCAUUCCCAGACAUUGGCUCCGGACUUGGAAACAGCAGUGUCCCCCCGAAGGCCCUUCCUCCUCCACCCGCUGCCCUCCCCGCGGCCUGGGUAACGUCUCAGGUCAGGGACUUGGCCCAGUGCUCAGGCCCCGUGGGUGUCCCGGUGCAGGGCUCCCACCCUCCAGGCCUCCUCCAGGGUCUCCCUCCCCACCCCCGCCUGCCCUGGUUGGGCUCUGCACCCCUGCGCAGUGGGGCGACUUGUUGGUUCUGGGAAUCGAAUUCAGGGCCUUGCACUUGCCAGGCAGCACUGCAGUGCUGAGCUACCUCUCUGGCCCUGCUUUUUGUGUGUGGUGCUGGGGACUGAACCCAGGGCCCUUGCACUGACCUGCACCCCCAGCCCCUUUCUUAAAAUUUUAAAUUUUGACACAGGGUCUUGAUAAGUUACUAAGUUUCCCGGUCUGGCCUCGAGGAGUGUGCAGUCCUCUUGCCUCAGCCUCCCAGAGUGCUGGGAUGACACGGGUGGCCACCUCACCAGCCUCCCUUGCGUGAGUCGUCUCCCAUGGGGGACUCUGGUCACAGCCGCAGCCCUCGACCUGGGCCUGCCCGUGUCUCCCGCGGCGUGGCGCACACACACGCAGAGUACACGCGUGGCUCAGAGUACGCACACAUGCAGUGCCCUGGCAUGGGGCCCCCUACUGUUCCUGCCUUGAAAUCCGGGUGUCCAGGGCCGAGGAGCCACCACCCUGCGGUCCCGGGAAGCAGCUGCAGGACGGGGCCACAGGGCCCGGUGGCUGGGUCAACCCUGCCUCUGCCCAGGCUCUCGGGUGGCCCCUGGGCUCCCUGGACUGUGCUGGCCCGGCCGGGCCUGCUGCCCUCCGCAGACGGCGGGAGGAAGGGAAGGAAGCGACCCGGGGGCUGGAAGAUGUGGGGUUUGAUUUUUCCCAGUACGGGGGAUUGACGAAGUUUCUUUAAUCUUUUGAUUUAUUUACUUUAUUUUCUCCCAUCCCCUCCUCAAUUCCCCUCCCUCCCUAUGUACAAAAGCUUUGUUUCCAUUUUUUCCUUGUUUUCACUUUUUUUUGGUCCCUUCCUCUCUCCCUCCUCCCUUGUUUCCCUUCCCAUUUGAACACUUUCUUCCAUUUCCCAGCAUCCACUGAAGAUGUAUUUUUCAUGAAUUCAUUUACUUAUUUUUGAGACAAGGUCUUGCUGAGUUGGCUGUUCUGGCCUCCACUUUGUGGCCCUCCUGCCUCAGCCUUCCGGGUGCUGGGAUGAAGCCAUGCACCACCAGGCCUGGUUGCUUGGCUCGGAUAUUUUCAAACUCAAAAAGAUUCGCGGAGCUCCCGUCCGUGCAAAUUCCCCGUCUGAUACAAUGCAAACUGCUUCUUUCUCCAGGGCGUGUUUCCCCCCAAGGUGUAAGUGGUUGAAACCUUAAAUGCUCCACAAACGCGGGCACCAGGUGUGGAGGAGCCUGGGGGCUUCCAGGCCCAGCAGGCAGGGCCAAGCCCCAGUGCUCGGUGAGCCCAAGUCCUGGCCAGCAGGGGGCGCCCGCCGCCCGCCUGCUCCCUGGCUUCGAGGCCAGUGAGAUGGGCAGCAGCAGGGGACAGGGCUGCCUCACCCUGGGACACAGGGCGCUGGCUUUCCCCCGUUUUCACCAGGCAGGAAGUUACAAGGACGCAGACCCGUGUGGCCAGGGCCAGGGGACGCGUGUGGCCGUGGACAUCCGUGGGGCUUGUGACCCCCAGGACUCUGUUUCGUCCUGGUCUUGGAUCGCGGGACAAAGGGUGCCGCCCGGGCUUCCCAUGGGCGCUGGUCCAGACCUGGGCGUCCUCCUGGCCGGCAGCGGGGAAACUGCAGAGAGCCCCCCGGAGUGGUCCGAACCCAGGGCCGGGUUUGGCAGAGCCACGGUGACUUCCAGGGCGGUGUGUGUGCAGGACGCUGUCUGGAGAAGGUGGCUCAUGGCUGUGUGCUGUGGGUCAGGCCGAAUCCAAAGCCGGGUGUGGUGCUGCACGCCUGUAACCCUGUACCCCGGAGGCUGAGGCAGGAAGGUCGUCAUGAAUUUGAGGCCAACCUGGGCUACAGAGCCAGAUCCUGUCUCAACAAAACAAAAGACCCAAGGAGAAGCCGGACGAGGCCCACCUGGCCCACUGCUCCGGCACUCCAUGCCCUGGAAGCUGAGUCUCCCCAGGACUCCAGUGGCUGGGCUGCCCACCUGGGUGACCCUAGUGCGGCUCAGGCAGGUAGGGGGGCAGAGGCGGGGAGUCCCUGUGCCUCCCGGGGACCCUCCUGCCGGGACAUCCCAUCCUGUCACGGUGAGACCUCGUGGGGCGCCGGCAAGGCCCAGGGUGAGCAGUGAGGCCGGCAGGCCUGACCCACAGGCCCAGGCGGUGUGGGGAGUGGGGGUGAAGGAGAAGCAGCCGGGGUGGGCAGGGGCUGCAGGCCCAGCACGGGGAAGGCUGAGGCAGGAGGAUUGCAAAUUCGGGCAAUUUAGUGUCUUAAAUAGAAAAUAAAAAGGGUGCUGGGUUCCACCCCCAAAACCAAAAAAAGGAAGAGAAAAAGGUGCCUUGCAGACACCUGCAGCUCCAAGGCCCCGUUACAAAGGUGCUGUUGGGGUGCUGCGGAAACCUCACACCCCGUGCUGCAGCUCCGCUCCCAGGGCUCGGUCCACGUGGCCGCAGAGCCACGUGUCCUAGGGUCUGUGUCGCACCAGCUGGUGGCGGCCACCAGGGGGCGCUGCGGCCUGGGCCCAGAGCCAGAGGAUGCUGGGGGGCCCAGUGGGAGGCUUUGGGGGUGGGGUGCAGGGAUCUCGUCACUCUCGGGACCCAGGCUGGGGUUCCGGGCGGCUGAUCCCCUCCCCUGUGGGGUCCCUGCACCCUGCUUCUCAGUAAGGGAAGCCCCGUUCUCCGGUGUGGGGUGCAGUGCUGCAGCCUGUCCUGUGAGUGUGCAGGAGGCCGAGGCAGGAUGAAGCAGGGAGUGGUUAGGGACACUGGGCACUUGGAAGGUAGGCACAGGUCCUGGGCAGAGAGGGACUGCCGGCCACUGCAGGGGUACUUAGUAUUUUUGUCAGAAAAGGAUUUGUUGUUGUUAUUACCAUUGUCAUUUGCAGCGUGGGGAGUGAACCCAGCACCCAGGCCUUUGCGCUGAGCCGCACCCCAGCCCUCACCCCCUUUUUGGAGGCUGUGAGCCUCCUGCCUGGGCCUCUCAGAGUUCUGGGAUUUGCCAUGCACCAUCAUACCUGGCUUCAAUAAAAAUUUUUAAGUUAUGAAACUAGUUCAGGAAAAUUACUGAAAAUGUCGAAAAUUGGAUAAGCCAAACCGACGUAUUUAUGUCUGGCCUGCUUUCUCUAAACUUUUUCACACCUUGUUUUGCAGAACCCAACACGACUGUGCCGCUGUGCACUUGCGGUUGCUCUCCCGGUUUCCCCUUCUCGGUGGGUAGCAGCGCUUCUCGCCUUUUUCUGGACUUGCUUUCCAGGUCAGCCGGCUGAGGCUGCUGUCCCCACGUCUGUCCCACAUUCGAGGCUGAGACCAGACCUCGGUGCGGGCGGGGCCGUGGGCGUCGCCACUUCGCCAUCUUGCCCCCGCACCUGUCUACUCCUGACUCUCCAGCCCGCUGCCCCAGCCCCGCUGCUCCCUCUGUGCGACCACUCAGCUGGACGGGGCUCCCGGGCACCUGUCUGCCUGGCAGAGGGUGUUCGCAGCUGAGCAGCUGCCAUUGCACCGGCCGUCAUCACCGGUCCCCACGCGGGGGUAGAUAUUCACGGCGCGACGUGUAAAAUCUCCAGAAAACUGGACAAGCACUCUGACCGAACAAGAGGCAGGGCCUUGGUGUGUAGCCCAGGCUGGCCUCAUUGUAGUGAGCCUCCUGCCUCAGCCUCCUGAGUGCUGGCCCCAUAGGAGUGGACCACCAUGCCCGCCUCUGCCUGUAAUUCUGUAGUUAAAAAACAGUAACUCGGGCCAGGGAUGUAGCCCAGUGGUUCCGUCGCCUGCCUUGCAAGUGCAAGGACCCGAGUUCGAUCCCCGGUUCAAAAAGAAAAGAAAAAACAGUAGCUCUUUGUUUUAAUUGGAACUACUUUGAUUAACAGUGAGAUGGAAUAAAUGCUUUUAGCUGAG